UGUACUGCUCUAAAUUGCUAGAAGGUGCUAGUUGCAGAUAUUGCACUUCACUGAAUGCUCUUACCUGACUGUCACAAUAGUCUUUUUUCCUAACAAACAACUUUCAUCCACUCCUUGUUUAUUUUGCUAACCAUGCUUCUCGGGCAUGCAAUAUAAUUUGCAGUGAUAUGAUUGGGUUAUAUUUUGAUUUUUCACUGUCACUUGUUUGUCUUUUCUAGAGUAAAUGAGAAGAAGAAGUCUCAUAAUCCCUACAAGAAGCCGGCCCAGGCGCCUCCUCCCCCAAACCACCACAGUACCACCAUCUCAGGAGGAUCACAGGGACCAUUCCAAGUGCAGUUUGAAAAAAGUGCUCUUCACGA